GGCGUUCGGUAUGGUGCUCUGCACAGAAUAAAAGAUCCAUGGUCUGUGAAUGCCAGGACUUGGUCUCUGACAGGGGCACCAGAACACUUGGAGGAAUUAUUUGCUAGUGGACAUCCAAGAGAUCUCAUCUACAGAAACACUGGCUUAGGGAGGGGCCAUUCAACAUCCCCGCCUAGCCACCAGUAUCCAAAGUGAACCCUACCAGUGAAUCAGAUGAUCUCAGCGGUGAUGUCCCAUGGGCGAAGAUGGAAAUGUCCUGUUGGGUCACCGUGGUCAUGAGGAAGUCCAAAGAGGAAAUGGUGAAUCGGAAGCAUUCCCGAGUUAUGCCAGGAACACGGACCUUCUCCCUAUAUCUGGGUAUCAUUGACCUCACUGCUGACCUCUUGCCCACAUCCCAGCCAUGGCCUAGAAUGUCCUCCCUCCUCAUAGCCGACAGAAACUGCCACAACCUGUACUGCUGCCCCUUCUCUUCAAAAUGAAAAAUAGAAAAAGAAGUUUAUCGGUCCAUCGCUCCUGAUUUAGGUCUUGCUGUCCCACCCCACCUAAUUGAUGUCGUAUGCUGACCCAGCCAUUUCUCCCUUAAUGGCAACUACCGGCUCUACCUCGAUCUCAUCUCUUGCUCGCUGACCCCUCGCCCCCAUCCCGCCUGGAAUUCCUUCCCUCUUCAUCUUGGACAGUCCACCAUACUCCCCAGCUUUCUGGUCUUCUGAAAAGUCGUAUGUCCGGAGUGCCAAGUCCUCAUGAAGAGAGAGGAAGAAUGGGAUCGAUGCAAGGUGACCCCUUCGAGUUCAGAGGACUGGCUUGGUGUGCAGAGUCCUGGAGUCCUGGCUGCUGGCCCCUGAUCUGCUGUGUCAUGAGGUAUUCAUCCCCAAUUUCCAGAGCGAGAGACUGAGGUCCAGAGAAGACACUCCCUUCAACUACCCCAAAUGUGAAAAACCGGGCAAGGCUCCAUCUGUCCACUCUACCUAAGCUCCGACAAGAUCACGGCCAGAGGGUGUCCGCUGGUCCCACAGAUGAAGAUGUCAGCCCGGAGAGUUGAAUGGACAACGUGGCAAUUCAGAGCUGGGACCCAGACCUCUGUUCUGCAAGCUACUUCCCUGGUGUUGCCUGCUUGGCUCUCCCCCUAAAGCUUUCCUGCUAAAAAAAGUGGGGCUCCAAAGGCUCCUUCCUGACGGAGGUCAUCUGGGAGAAAUAGUCAACCAGCAGCUUCUGCUGGGAGGCCUCCUGGAACCAGUAGGAAAGGGAAGGGCUGUUGGAGGCUGGAGCUGUGAAUCUCCAAAAGAUUCCCAAGGCCCAGGAGGGGUUCACACCCCCCACAUGGAAGCCUGAAAGGUGAGACUCCUAAUCCUAAGGCAUGGGGCACCCCGACACUGGCAUGGUCUUGGGCAUUACAGAUGCUAAAGGGGAAUAGCUGACAUUGCCUGACAGCAAGCAGAUGCUAAUGGAGAAAAGGUUAAAUCCAUCCACACUCAUUAGAUGUUAAUUAAGAGGCUAUCAAUCAGGAAUUAAACAUGGAUCAGCAGUAAUUUAAUAUAAACAGUGAUUUAACAUUAAGAAUCACUGAAAUGGACAAAUGAGACAAUGAUGAAGAUUAGGUGAAAUUAACAAUUAUUAGACAUUAAGAACCAGUAAAAAUCACUUAAAUUACUGUUCAUUAUUGUUAAGAUUCAUUACAACUUAACAGUAAUUUAACAUUAAGAAUGGGUGAAAUAUAUAAGAGGUUAAUGAAUAGCAGGUGAAAUAAAUCAACAGUCAUUAAUCACUAUUGAGAAAUUUACCUGUUACUGUUUAGACAUUUAAUUAGAGAAAAACAGGUAAGAAUCACUCAAUAGUGAUUAGACAUUAAUCAACAGUAAUUAAACUAUAACUAACAGUAAUUAGACUAAGAAUAGCCAAAAGCAGUCAAGUAAUUAGACAUUAAUGAAGAUGAGGGGAAAUCAAUAUAUACUAGACAGAAAAGGUGAAAAAUGACUCAAAGGUGAUUAAUUACUUGAUUAAUGUCUAAACUAAAAACAGCUGAAAAUCAAGCCAUUAGACAUUAAGAAAGAGCUGGUGCAAUCAGUAGUAAUUGCCUUACUGUUGAGUGAUUUUUACCUGUACUUAAACAUUAAUCAACAGUUAUUAGAACAGCUGAAAAGGAAGUCAUUAGACAUUAACAAUAAGGACAGGUAAAAGCAAUUAACAGUGAUUAGACUGAAGAGCUAAAAUGAAUUAAGUGAAAACAGGUAUCAAUUGAAAACAGCUGUUGUCAAUUGAAAACUAAAAUCAAUUGAGAACAGUUUUCAAUUAGUUUGAUAUAAACAGUGAAAACAUGUCAUGAAUUAAUAGACUUCCAAUAAAUGAACACCUAUGUUGAAUUGAUGGAUUACUGGAUAGCAUCAGAUUUCAAUAGACUAAAUAAUUUACUUAAAAACACCUGAUUACAAUUAUUGAAACCACAUGAGUUUAGUUAACUGCUUCCAAUUAAUUGAAAUCUGAAUCCAAUUGAGUGAGAGCCCUGACUGUAGUUCAUUAAGUGAAAAUGGCUGAAUCCAAUUGAAUAACUGAAAAAACUGGAAUCCAAUUGAUAAAUUGAAAACACCUGAUGUUAACUAAGAGGAAUUCAGUAUUUUCAAUUAAUUAUUUUGGAAACUCCUGAUUCCAAUUAAGUAAUUAAUUGAAAGCACCAGAUUGCAAAAUGAUUCAUUGUAAUACUGAAUUAUAAUUAGUUAAAAACUCCUGAAUCCAAUUAAAGAAUUUCUUAACUGAAUGACAAGUAAUGAAUUGGUCUAACACUCCUGAUUAAAUUGAAAAAUGAAUUGAAAGAACUGAAUACUUGAUCCAGAUGUUUUUGAUUAAUUAGAAAUCAAUUGAUUGAAAGGUGUAUUUGAUUGGAAUCAGGUGUUUUCAAUUAAUUAGUUAAAUGAUUAAUUGGCAUCAGGUGUUUUCAAGUAAUCAAUUAAUGAAUUAAUUGGAAUCAGGUGUUUUCA